CUCGUAGGUGGCCGACUAAGUCGGACGUGAAAUCCCUCGGCUUAACCGGGGAACUGCGUCCGAUACUGGAUGGCUUGAGUUUGGGAGAGGGACGCGGAAUUCCAGGUGUAGCGGUGAAAUGCGUAGAUAUCUGGAGGAACACCGGUGGCGAAGGCGGCGUCCUGGACCAAUACUGACACUGAUGAGCGAAAGCCAGGGGGGGCAAACG
rnacentral:rRNA from 1 species